rnacentral:lncRNA from 1 species
UAGUAGAUUUCCCGAGUGACAGGUUGAGCGCAAGAUGGAGCACCAGGGACACGGCACCGGCGAGAAGAAAGGCAUCAUGGAGAACAUCAAGGAGAAGCUCCCCGGUGGCCACCAGCAGACCGCUGGCACCCACGGGCAGCAGGGACACACUGGAAUGACCGGCACGGAGAUGCAUGACACCACGGCCACCGGCGGCACCUUUGGGCAGCAGGGACACACCGGAACGACUGGCACUGGGACACACGGCACAGCCGGGACCGGCGAGAAGAAGAGCCUCAUGGACAAGGUCAAGGAGAAGCUGCCUGGACAGCACUAAGCCCGGUGUGCCCACGACCGCUACCUUCGCAGAAUAAUACUCCACCGUAUAUGAAUUGAUCGAGUCUAGUUCACCUAGCUCACUUGGUCAUUGGAGGAGCGAAUGUAUCUUUGCUUUAAGUUUUCACGGAAAUGUGUUCACUGUUUACGUUUGUUUACACUCUCUGUCGUGCAAAUUUCCUUUUUGUUCUUUUUUUUGGGCUAUCUAUUUUUUGACUAUCAGGAGGGCCAAAGCCACCCGGUUCCAUUAUCAAAUAACGAAACCAGAGUGAGUUCAACAUCAUGCAUAAAGGCAUGU